UACGAAGGGGGCUAGCGUUGCUCGGAAUCACUGGGCGUAAAGCGCACGUAGGCGGAUCUUUAAGUCAGGGGUGAAAUCCUGGAGCUCAACUCCAGAACUGCCUUUGAUACUGGGGAUCUCGAGUCCGGAAGAGGUGAGUGGAACUCCGAGUGUAGAGGUGAAAUUCGUAGAUAUUCGGAAGAACACCAGUGGCGAAGGCGGCUCACUGAUCCGGUACUGACGCUGAGGUGCGAAAGCGUGGGGAGCAAACAGG
rnacentral:rRNA from 1 species